rnacentral:rRNA from 1 species
UACGUAGGGUGCAAGCGUUAAUCGGAAUUACUGGGCGUAAAGCGUGCGCAGGCGGUGAUGUAAGACAGGUGUGAAAUCCCGGGCUUAACCUGGGAACUGCAUUUGUGACUGCAUCGCUGGAGUGCGGCAGAGGGGAUGGAAUUCCGCGUGUAGCAGUGAAAUGCGUAGGGAUGUGGAGGAACACCGAUGGCGAAGGCAGCCCCUGGGUCAAGAUUGACGCUCAUGCACGAAAGCGUGGGGAGCAAACAG